UUUUUUUUUUUUUAACAACAUUAUAUAUUUAUUCAUCAAAUAUGCUUGUUACAUUGUUACACCAAGAAACCAAGCUUUUCUUGAUGCAUCCUGUAAUAUUCCACCGAUUGCCCAGGUUAGCAAUCAGCUGUUGGUAUAUAUGUAUAUAUUAUAAUAAUAUGUAUAAAUUUCUUGAAAUACAAUUAUACAACAUUUUAAUACAUUAUGUUUUAUUCUAUCAAUCGUCUAAACUUCUUUUUAGUGACGUUAGUAAUGGAUUAAGUUUCAUUGUUCUGUUUUCGUUGUAUCUUUUUAUGUAUUCUCGAA
rnacentral:lncRNA from 1 species